GGGGGGUCUAAAUGCAAGUCGAGCGAGCUUGCCUAGAUGAUUUUAGUGCUUGCACUAAAUGAAACUAGAUACAAGCGAUCGGCGGACGGGUGAGUAACACGUGGGUAACCUGCCCAAGAGACUGGGAUAACACCUGGAAACAGAUGCUAAUACCGGAUAACAACACUAGACGCAUGUCUAGAGUUUGAAAGAUGGUUCUGCUAUCACUCUUGGAUGGACCUGCGGUGCAUUAGCUAGUUGGUAAGGUAACGGCUUACCAAGGCAAUGAUGCAUAGCCGAGUUGAGAGACUGAUCGGCCACAUUGGGAUUGAGACACGGCCCAAACUCCUACGGGAGGCAGCAGUAGGGAAUCUUCCACAAUGGACGAAAGUCUGAUGGAGCAACGCCGCGUGAGUGAAGAAGGGUUUCGGCUCGUAAAGCUCUGUUGGUAGUGAAGAAAGAUAGAGGUAGUAACUGGCCUUUAUUUGACGGUAAUUACUUAGAAAGUCACGGCUAACUACGUGCCAGCAGCCGCGGUAAUACGUAGGUGGCAAGCGUUGUCCGGAUUUAUUGGGCGUAAAGCGAGUGCAGGCGGUUCAAUAAGUCUGAUGUGAAAGCCUUCGGCUCAACCGGAGAAUUGCAUCAGAAACUGUUGAACUUGAGUGCAGAAGAGGAGAGUGGAACUCCAUGUGUAGCGGUGGAAUGCGUAGAUAUAUGGAAGAACACCAGUGGCGAAGGCGGCUCUCUGGUCUGCAACUGACGCUGAGGCUC
rnacentral:rRNA from 1 species